GACGAACGCUGGCGGCGUGCUUAACACAUGCAGGUCGAACGGAAAGGCCCGGCUUUUGUGGGGUGCUCGAGUGGCGAACGGGUGAGUAACACGUGAGUAACCUGCCCUUGACUGUGGGAUAACUUCAGGAAACUGGGGCUAAUACCGGAUAGGAGCUCCUGCUGCAUGGUGGGGGUUGGAAAGUUUCGGCGGUUGGGGAUGGACUCGCGGCUUAUCAGCUUGUUGGUGGGGUAGUGGCUUACCAAGGCUUUGACGGGUAGCCGGCCUGAGAGGGUGACCGGCCACAUUGGGACUGCGGUACGGCCCAGACUCCUACGGGCGGCAGCAGUGGGGAAUAUUGCACACUGGGCGGAAGCCUGAUGCAGCAACGCCGCGUGCGGGAUGACGGCCUUCGGGUUGUAAACCGCUUUCGCCUGUGACGAAGCGUGAGUGACGGUAAUGGGUAAAGAAGCACCGGCUAACUACGUG
rnacentral:rRNA from 1 species